UGGGGAAUUCUGGACAAUGGGCGAAAGCCUGAUCCAGCCAUGCCGCGUGCAGGAUGAAGGCCUUCGGGUUGUAAACUGCCUUUGUACGGAACGAAAAGACUCUGGUUAAUACCUGGGGUCCAUGACGGUACCGUAAGAAUAAGCACCGGCUAACUACGUGCCAGCAGCCGCGGUAAUACGUAGGGUGCAAGCGUUAAUCGGAAUUACUGGGCGUAAAGCGUGCGCAGGCGGUUAUAUAAGACAGAUGUGAAAUCCCCGGGCUCAACCUGGGAACUGCAUUUGUGACUGUAUAGCUAGAGUACGGCAGAGGGGGAUGGAAUUCCGCGUGUAGCAGUGAAAUGCGUAGAUAUGCGGAGGAACACCGAUGGCGAAGGCAAUCCCCUGGGCCUGUACUGACGCUCAUGCACGAAAGCGUGGAGAGCAAACAGGAUUAGAUACCCUGGUAGUCCACGCCCUAAACGAAGUCAACUGGUUGUUGGGUCUUCACUGACUCAGUAACGAAG
rnacentral:rRNA from 1 species